AACUUAUGCAAGCCAUGGUGUAUGGACUGAUUUCAGGAGGUUUCUUACGACAUACCACGAGCCGUUCUUCAUACUUAGCAUAUCAGAUGGAAUUAGUGAAGAGAUGCUGAGUGCGGAGAAAAGAGUGAGACGAGCGAGGAAAAACUGCACAGGAGGAAUAAAAGUUGCGGAACGACGGAGA